rnacentral:lncRNA from 1 species
UAGAACCCCGCGAGGCAGGGUGAGGGGCGCCACCGAGGAAGCGCCCACCGGGCUCCCGGGGCUGCCAGGCCCCAAAUUGAGGAAGUUGACUGCCAGAUCACACUCUGUUGGCCCACGCAGAUAGAUUCCAUUCAUCCUUUCUAAUGUCUACACCAUAUUUUGGAUAACAUGCCAUCAUCUCACAUUGUGUUGAAAGAAGAAACCAGAAUGUUGGGGUUGAUGUAUGCCAUAUGGAUGAAUUUAAACAGUUUCGGCCUUGCAAUAAUUGGUAUACUUCUAAUUGCAUGUGAAAUUAUACUCUUUUUAACGAAAGAUGAAACUAUUCAGUGGCCACAUGUACCCAGUAACAGAGGGAGCAAAGCAAAUCUUAUCCUCAAAGAACUGCAGCUGCUUGUUAGAUCUACCUGGUGGUUCCAUAGAGAAACUGCUCAGAGAACCUGCCUUUACCUCGCCUAAAACAGAACUAUCCCGGAGCUCAGUUCAUCAACUCAGGAUCCAGUAGUGUAAUACAGAAGCCUGUUACGAGAUAUAAGAUGGUUGGUAUGAUGCUUUUACAAUAUUUACUACUCUGCACCAUCUUAGAGAUGACCAUUGUAAUCAUAAUCAUCCAGUGGGUUGUAAGAGCAUUUCAUCAUGAAAAACACACUGAAGAAAGUGAGUAACUUUG